AGGGUUCGAUUCUGGCUCAGGAUGAACGCUGGCGGCGUGCUUAACACAUGCAAGUCGAACGGGAUCCAUCAGGCUUUGCUUGGUGGUGAGAGUGGCGAACGGGUGAGUAAUGCGUGACCGACCUGCCCCAUACACCGGAAUAGCUCCUGGAAACGGGUGGUAAUGCCGGAUGCUUCAUCGGUAUGGGAUGGGGUCGCGUCCUAUCAGGUAGUCGGCGGGGUAACGGCCCACCGAGCCUACGACGGGUAGCCGGCCUGAGAGGGCGACCGGCCACAUUGGGACUGAGAUACGGCCCAGACUCCUACGGGAGGCAGCAGUGGGGAAUAUUGCACAAUGGGCGCAAGCCUGAUGCAGCGACGCCGCGUGCGGGAUGACGGCCUUCGGGUUGUAAACCGCUUUUGAUCGGGAGCAAGCCUUCGGGUGAGUGUACCUUUCGAAUAAGCACCGGCUAACUACGUGCCAGCAGCCGCGGUAAUACGUAGGGUGCAAGCGUUAUCCGGAAUUAUUGGGCGUAAAGGGCUCGUAGGCGGUUCGUCGCGUCCGGUGUGAAAGUCCAUCGCUUAACGGUGGAUCUGCGCCGGGUACGGGCGGGCUGGAGUGCGGUAGGGGAGACUGGAAUUCCCGGUGUAACGGUGGAAUGUGUAGAUAUCGGGAAGAACACCAAUGGCGAAGGCAGGUCUCUGGGCCGUUACUGACGCUGAGGAGCGAAAGCGUGGGGAGCGAACAGGAUUAGAUACCCUGGUAGUCCACGCCGUAAACGGUGGAUGCUGGAUGUGGGGCCCGUUCCACGGGUUCCGUGUCGGAGCUAACGCGUUAAGCAUCCCGCCUGGGGAGUACGGCCGCAAGGCUAAAACUCAAAGAAAUUGACGGGGGCCCGCACAAGCGGCGGAGCAU
rnacentral:rRNA from 1 species